rnacentral:rRNA from 1 species
GACGUCAAAGCGUUCAUUAAAGUCGAGUUGGCUUAGGGAUACGUUCGUUGGGUAGGGGAGCGUUCUGUAAGCCGUUGAAGGUGGCCUGUGAGGGUUGCUGGAGGUAUCAGAAGUGCGAAUGCUGACAUAAGUAACGAUAAAGCGGGUGAAAAGCCCGCUCGCCGGAAGACCAAGGGUUCCUGUCCAACGUUAAUCGGGGCAGGGUGAGUCGACCCCUAAGGCGAGGCCGAAAGGCGUAGUCGAUGGGAAACGGGUUAAUAUUCCCGUACUUGGUGUUACUGCGAAGGGGGGACGGAGAAGGCUAUGUUGGCCGGGCGACGGUUGUCCCGGUUUAAGCGUGUAGGUGUGUGUUCCAGGUAAAUCCGGUUCACUUUAACACUGAGGCGUGACGACGAGGCACUACGGUGCUGAAGCAACAAAUGCCCUGCUUCCAGGAAAAGCCUCUAAGCAUCAGGUAACAUCAAAUCGUACCCCAAACCGACACAGGUGGUCAGGUAGAGAAUACCAAGGCGCUUGAGAGAACUCGGGUGAAGGAACUAGGCAAAAUGGUGCCGUAACUUCGGGAGAAGGCACGCUGACACGUAGGUGAAGUGAUUUACUCAUGGAGCUGAAGUCAGUCGAAGAUACCAGCUGGCUGCAACUGUUUAUUAAAAACACAGCACUGUGCAAACACGAAAGUGGACGUAUACGGUGUGACGCCUGCCCGGUGCCGGAAGGUUAAUUGAUGGGGUCAGCGCAAGCGAAGCUCCUGAUCGAAGCCCCGGUAAACGGCGGCCGUAACUAUAACGGUCCUAAGGUAGCGAAAUUCCUUGUCGGGUAAGUUCCGACCUGCACGAAUGGCGUAAUGAUGGCCAGGCUGUCUCCACCCGAGACUCAGUGAAAUUGAACUCGCUGUGAAGAUGCAGUGUACCCGCGGCAAGACGGAAAGACCCCGUGAACCUUUACUAUAGCUUGACACUGAACAUUGAGCCUUGAUGUGUAGGAUAGGUGGGAGGCUUUGAAGCGUGGACGCCAGUCUGCGUGGAGCCGACCUUGAAAUACCACCCUUUAAUGUUUGAUGUUCUAACGUGGACCCGU